AUUGAACGCUGGCGGCAUGCCUUACACAUGCAAGUCGAACGGCAGCACGGGUGCUUGCACCUGGUGGCGAGUGGCGAACGGGUGAGUAAUACAUCGGAACAUGUCCUGUAGUGGGGGAUAGCCCGGCGAAAGCCGGAUUAAUACCGCAUACGAUCUACGGAUGAAAGCGGGGGACCUUCGGGCCUCGCGCUAUAGGGUUGGCCGAUGGCUGAUUAGCUAGUUGGUGGGGUAAAGGCCUACCAAGGCGACGAUCAGUAGCUGGUCUGAGAGGACGACCAGCCACACUGGGACUGAGACACGGCCCAGACUCCUACGGGAGGCAGCAGUGGGGAAUUUUGGACAAUGGGCGAAAGCCUGAUCCAGCAAUGCCGCAUGUGUGAAGAAGGCCUUCGGGUUGUAAAGCACUUUUGUCCGGAAAGAAAUCCUUGGCCCUAAUACGGUCGGGGGAUGACGGUACCGGAAGAAUAAGCACCGGCUAACUACGUG
rnacentral:rRNA from 1 species